rnacentral:rRNA from 1 species
UUGACGGUACCCUACUAGAAAGGAGCCGCUAACUUCGUGCCAGAAGCGUCGGUAAUACGGGGGCUCCAAGCGUUAUCCGGUGUUGUUGGGCGUAAAGAGUCGUGUAGGUGGUUGGGUAAGUUAUCUUUCAAAUAUCUUUGCUUAACAAAGAGGAGGGGGAUAAUACUGCUCGACUAGAAUUUUCUCAAGGGAGAUCGGAACUGAGGGAGGAGUAGUGAAAUGCGUUGAUACCCUCGGGAACACCAGUGGCGUAGGCGGAUCUCUGGGAGAAGAUUGACACUGAGACACGGAAGCUAGGGGAGCGAAGCAGAUUAGAGACCUGCGUAGUCCUAGCCGUAAACGCAUGCUUGCUAGCUGCAUGAAUCUACCUUCGGGUGGUAUCGUGUGGCGAAGGUAACCCGUUAAGCAAGCCGCCUGGAAAGUACGGCCGCAAGGCUGAAAUUCAAAGGAAUUGGCGGGGAGGCACACAACCAGUGGAACAUGUGGUUUAAUUCGAGACUAACCGAAGAACCUCACCAGGGUUUGACAUGUAGCUGCACGUCUUAAGAAAUUAAGACUCUCUUGAAGGUGCUACACAGGUGCUGCAUGGCUGUCGUCAGCUCGUUCCGUGAGGAGUGCUCUUAAGUGGGACAACGAGCGCAACCCCUAUUACAUGUUAGAAAUGUCAUGUAAGACUGCCUUGCCAUUUGGCGGGGAGGAAGGAGGGGCAGACGUCAAGUCCGCAUGGUCCUUAUGCCCUGGGCUACACACAUGUUACAAUGAGUACGGCAAUGAGUCUGUCGCGAGCACGUAAGUGUAAGCUAAUCUCUUAAAUGUACUCUCAGUGGGGAUUGAGGUCUGCAACUCGACCUCAUGAACACGGAAUUGGUAGUAAUCGCGGGUCAGCUAUACCGCGGUGAUACGUUCUUGCCUCUUGCACACACCGCCCGUCAAACCAGCAAAGU